AGCAGAAAUUUUAGUGUUCAUGUGUGAAAUGGUACUGUUUAGGCCUGAUGGAUGCUUAGAAAAAGGCAAACACAGCUGAGUUAGCAGCAUCUCUCUUAUCUAUUGAAGUGAAGUCAAGAAAAAAAUUGGCAAGGACUUGAUUUCUGGGGAGGUGCCCUACAACCCCUACUCACUGUUUGAGAAGAGGAAUUUGAUAUAAUGUAAUUGUGUAGCCUAAGAUGGAAUAUAGAAGAACCAUAAAAAACAAAACAAAAAAUCAUGCAAAACUGAAAUGGAAGAAUCGUCUUCCUCGAUCAUAAAUAUAAAUUCUACAUGAGCAUAAGGAAGGCAAACAAAUCGUCUUCAAACGAUGACAGAGAGAUGCCCUUCAGAAAAAAAAUCAUGGUUAAAAUUCCUUGUUAAUCCCUGAGCAGCAAAUUGUUUGAGAUAUCUGACAGUCAUUCUCGUCUCUUCAUACUCUUCUGUACUGGAAAAACAGUUGUUCUGGAGACUGCAGUGCCAAGGCCUGUCUAGUAAUCUGUGCAGUAACAGGGAAAAUGAAUUAUUAAACUGCUUUCUUUCUUUUAGUAAACAAAUACUCAAACUAAUGAACACCUCUUUCUUAUUUAUUUCCAUCCUCCUUCUCUCCAUUGGAUUGUGAAGUAUGGCUUGGAUCACAAGAUCACAGUGCAAUGUUCCUUGCAUGGCGUUCAGGGUGUAUGAAGGAGAAAAGGGAAGUGAAGCACAUGAUUCAAUUGCAAGUCACUAGACAUAAGGCUGCCGUUAGGUGCUGUGAUGCAGCAGCAGUUAAACUAGUCAUUCGUGAAAGAAAGGGCUAUGUGUUUGUGGUGGCAUGGCACAGAAGGCUGAGGAUAGAGUAAAAAACAGCAGCUAGCAUAAAAUUCUUCCUUUCAGAAGAUAAUCAUGUUGUGGCUCCUCAAUGAGUUUCAAACUGUUGCCUACUGUGUUGUCUGCUGUUGUUGUAUGGUUCUUAGGAGAGGAGUUAAAGAACGCUUCAGAUAGGUAGAGGCAAGGGAGAUGCUUUGGGGAAGAGUUUUGGCAGGAAUUUUUCCUUUGUUUUUUGUUCUCUUGGCCAAAAUAAGUGUUCAGGGCUUUCUUUAAACCUGAAUUGGAGAAGUAUUUUAGUGUGUGCAUAUGUGUGUGUCAGUUCUUGCAGUUUUUGAGUAAUAAAAUUCCGGUUUAAUCC
rnacentral:lncRNA from 1 species